rnacentral:rRNA from 1 species
UUCCGGUUGAUCCUGCCGGACCCGACUGCUAUUUGGGUGAGAAUAAGCCAUGCGAGUUGAAUGGAAUACCUAAAUUUUCCAUGGCAAACUGCUCAGUAACACAUGAUCAACUUACCCUAUAGAGAAAAAUAAUCUCGGGAAACUGAGGAUAAUGUUUCAUAGUUGAAAAGGCUUGGAAAAGUUUUUCAAUCAAAGGGAUAAAAAAAAUGGUUUUUAUCCGCUAUAGGAUAGGAUCGUGCUCGAUUAUGGUUGUUGGUGAGGUAAUGGCUCACCAAGCCGAUAAUCGAUAGGGGCCGUGAGAGCGGGAGCCCCGAGAUGGGUACUGAGACAACGACCCAGGCCUUACGAGGCGCGGCAGGCGCGAAACCUCCGCAAUACACGAAAGUGUGACGGGGUUACCCAAAGUGUUCAGUUUUGAACUGUGGUAGGUGAGUAAUGUCCCCUACUAGAAAGGAGAGGGCAAGGCUGGUGCCAGCCGCCGCGGUAAAACCAGCUCUUCAAGUGGUCGGGAUAAUUAUUGGGCUUAAAGUGUCCGUAGCCGGUUUAGUAAGUUCCCGGUAAAAUCGGGUAGCUUAACUAUCUGUAUGCUAGGAAUACUGCUAAACUAGAGGGCGGGAGAGGUCUGAGGUACUACAGGGGUAGGGGUGAAAUCUUAUAAUCCUUGUAGGACCACCAGUGGCGAAAGGCGUCAGACUGGAACGUGCCUGACGGUGAGGGACGAAAGCCAGGGGAGCGAACCGGAUUAGAUACCCGGGUAGUCCUGGCCGUAAACGAUGCAUACUAGUGAUGGCAUGGCCAUGAGCCGUGUCAGUGCCGUAGGGAAACCGUUUAAGUAUGCCGCCUGGGAAGUACGGUCGCAGGCUAAACUAAAAGGAAUGGCGGGGAGCAUCACAAGGGGGUGAGCUGCGUCAAUUGACUCACGCCGU